rnacentral:rRNA from 1 species
AUUGAACGCUGGCGGCAUGCUUUACACAUGCAAGUCGAACGGUAACAGGUUAAGCUGACGAGUGGCGAACGGGUGAGUAAUGCAUCGGAACGUGCCCGGUCGUGGGGGAUAACGCAGCGAAAGCUGCGCUAAUACCGCAUACGAUCUGAGGAUGAAAGCGGGGGACCGUAAGGCCUUGCGCGAUCGGAGCGGCCGAUGUCAGAUUAGGUAGUUGGUGGGGUAAAGGCUCACCAAGCCAACGAUCUGUAGCUGGUCUGAGAGGACGACCAGCCACACUGGGACUGAGAGACGGCCGAGACUCCGACGGGAGGCAGAAGUGGGGAAUUUUGGACAAUGGGCGAAAGCCUGAUCCAGCAAUGCCGCGUGCAGGAAGAAGGCCUUCGGGUUGUAAACUGCUUUUGUACGGAGCGAAAAGGUCUCCUCUAAUACAGGGGGCUCAUGACGGUACCGUAAGAAUAAGCACCGGCUAACUACGUGCCAGCAGCCGCCGUAA